rnacentral:rRNA from 1 species
GACGAACGCUGGCGGCGUGCCUAACACAUGCAAGUCAACUUGAGGGAAGGAGCAAUCUGACCUGAUGGUGGCGCAAGGGUGCGUAACGCGUAAGUAACUUGCCCCAAGGUAAGGAAUAACGUCGAGAAAUCGGCGCUAAAUACCUCAUAAUGCAGCGGAUCCGCAUGGAUAUGUUGUUAAAGGUUUACCGCCUUGGGAUAGGCUUGCGUCUGAUUAGCUAGUUGGUGUGGUAAUGGCACACCAAGGCUACGAUCAGUAACUGGUCUGAGAGGAUGAUCAGUCACACUGGAACUGAGACACGGUCCAGACUCCUACGGGAGGCAGCAGUGAGGAAUAUUGGGCAAUGCACGAAAAGUGUGACCCAGCAACGCCGCGUGGAGG